rnacentral:snoRNA from 1 species
UUCUGAUAAUGAUGAGAACCUUUCAAUUAUACAGUUAUCCCUGUCUGAAUGGGUAAAAAGUUUAAUAAAACAUGGUAACACUCACGUGUCGAAAAUGUAUACUCUGACAUCAGAA